rnacentral:lncRNA from 1 species
CUAGGUUAGUCUGAAAUGUGGGUUUUAUUCUUAAAUGGCCCCACUGCAUGUGUAGGUGUGCGCACACAUGCACACAAUUGAUGCGUAGGGGUGUGGAGUGGUCAACUGAUGAGGCACUGUGGAGGAUGAGAGCUUUGGAGAGUGGUGUGUGGGUUGGAAGCCUCCUCUCCUCGCGGUAAAACACACACACACACACACACACACACACACACACACACACACACACACACACGCACAUACAAAGCUGGGGGAGGUGGAGGCAGCAGAGCUCGCUUCACCGGCUGUCCAUUGAUCAGUGGAGAGGUUGGUAGACUUAAAAGAUCAGUGUGGAGACUGGUGGAGAGCAGAGAGAGGGUUGGAGAGGAGGAUACUGGGGGUUCUGUAGGAUAUGGCAAACACAGGCAGCCAGGGAUAAGAAGAGGGGAGGUUAGAGAGAGAGAGGGAGAGCUAGAGAGAGAGAGAAAGUGUGUGAUGAGAUAGAGAUUAGAGCAAUGGAGAGAUAAGGAGGCAAAUCACAGCUGCUGGGUUUUACAGUCUGGAUGAAGCCUGCUGGACUGACGAGAUGUCGAAGCAGCAGAUCGGCGCCCUGGCGAAGGGGGUGGAAAACUUCUCGAGCGUCCAUCUGCUGCAGUCAAAAUGGACGCCGCAACAGCCCGCCUGAGGCGGCCAUCUUGGUUUCAGCCUACGAGCGGAGGAACGCUUCGGUGCCGGAAGGCAGAGAAGGAGCCCAAGAGGAAAAUGGCAGUUUUAGCUUGUUUGCACAAAUGCACUUGAACCAGUAAAUGUUCUUUUUAGUUUGCCAACUUUCUUUGUUUGAUUGUUUUGGUGUCAUUUCUGUACAUUUUCCCCUGAGAAGCUAAGGGUAGCAUAAACAAUGACGCUGAAAUAAUUAAGCAAAUCUAAAGCCAUGCUACUAACAAGUCAAAAAUAUUUUACUAAUUAUAAAUGUAUAUACACACACACACACACACACACACACACACACACACAGGAGAUGUACUCAGUAAUGAGAUUAUUUUAAAGGCCUACACACCAUAGUCCUGUGAACCAUAAGUGUCUGCAAACAAGAUUUAAUUGCCAUGGUGUUUUGAAAAAUAAAAACUAAACUAAGCUAAAUGAACUUAAGAAA